UUACCACCACCGGCGAACCAGUCCCGCCGAGACGCCGCCCGCGGCGCGCGGCCCCGGGGGACGACCCCGGGGGGCGCGCGUGCGGACGGGCUCCGAACGACCCCCCAGGGCGCGGCGAGCGCCAAGGAAUAUAGAAGCGGAAAGGGGCGGCCGCCCCGUCCGGGGACGCGGCGUCGCCGCGGGGAUCCGCCGCCCCGUCUGCGAACCACUUACGGACGACUCUCGGCAACGGAUAUCUCGGCUCUCGCAUCGAUGAAGAACGUAGCGAAAUGCGAUACUUGGUGUGAAUUGCAGAAUCCCGCGAACCAUCGAGUCUUUGAACGCAAGUUGCGCCCGAGGCCACUCGGCCGAGGGCACGCCUGCCUGGGCGUCACGCCACCCAUCGCCCCCUCCCGCGGCAUUCACGUGCCCGGCCGGGGAGCGGAGACUGGCCGUCCGUGCCCGAGCCCUCGGCGCGCGGUCGGCGGAAAAGGAGGACACCGUGCGGCGCGACACGGCGUGUGGGGGUCGAGGGGCGAUCCGUCGCCCGAUCGAACGUCGCGCCCGCGUUCCGCCGCGCGGUGUCGAGCGCGGGACCAGACCCGCCCGCAGCCGCGGGCGCCCGGACCGCGACCCCAGGUCAGGCGUGGCCACCCGCUGAAUUUAAGCAUAUCAAUAAGCGGAGGAAAAGAA
rnacentral:rRNA from 1 species